rnacentral:tRNA from 1 species
GUGGCAGUAGCUCAGUUGGUUAGAGCAUCGGAUUGUGGUUCCGAGGGUCGUGGGUUCGAGUCCCAUUUGCCACCCCA